CAGUUCCCAAACAAAGCGGUCUAUCAUUGAGUUUUUAUUGUGCUAAUUUUGCCUCGGGAUAAGCCAUAAGGGCUUUAUUAAGUACCGCAACUUGGGUUGAAUAUGACUAAUAUACUCUUGCUAUAACAAUGAUAUCAUCCCACGCUAUACUCCUCGUGAUUAAAGGCUUAAAGAUUUUGUUCCUUCAUAGCUGACAAUGAUACUGUUAAAAAUCCUUUCGAUUAUCCAUAUUCCAAAACUUAAUUAUGUAGCGAUCAUUUUGAAUGAUCAUUUUGAAUCCUCUUGAAUUGUUGCGCUUUUGUGGACAAUUACACAUUGGGUGCGUACAUGUGAGGCUCGGAGAACCGGGUCACUAUUCUUUAUUUACGAUGGCGACCAGUGGGGGUCAAGCUGGUGGUCUAGUGUCUUCUUAUAUAUUGAAGAUGCAUUGAUUGCAGUAUUGGAGGCGAGAUUUAUCCAGAAAUUCCAUCUGAAAAUAUGGAUUGUAGGAAAUUCGGUUCUAUUGCAUCAGAAUGCCGCGGAUUAACUUCCUAUGUGGAUUGACUUGUUCGUUGACUUUCUAUAUAGAUUUGACUACGACUACCAUCAACCAAUCAGAUGUGUUUAAUCUACCCGAUUGACCAAUCAAAUGGCAUACUGUGAAUGUCAAAUCUGAGCCUCUC